rnacentral:lncRNA from 1 species
AGGGCUGGUGGCCGGCCCCUUCCCUGCUCUCACCCCCCAUCGUAGGCCCGGGAGGGUGAGAAUGGGGGCAGGGGGGACUAGGAGAGGAGAAGCAGACGGUUACAGGGGCAACAGGGAGCCGGCCUUCAGGAGCUGGAGGGGAAACUGAGGGACUCAAGAGCUGGGAGGAAGCAGAGGACCUGCUGCAUCCGCUGCAGGACCCUGUGCCAAGUGAGAAAGCAGACCCCUGUGUUUCCCAAAACUGCUGCAGGCUGUUCAGCAGGGACAGCAUAGCAUUGAACCAAACGCUGACACCUACUGAGGUUGGCCUUGUGUGACCGCACCAUCGCCAGCCGUCUGGCCCUGCUCUUCAUAACUCUCCAUUCCCUCCGCGUGCUGGGACUCGGCCCAUGCAAGGGCGUUGACUCCAGGGUGGGGGAGUUGUCAGCCUGUGACUGAGUCUGGCCUCCCUCUUGCUGACCGGGUGAGGCUGAGCCUACACAUACUUGACAACUCUGGAAAAUCGGGGGUUCAACCAGACAAACUCAAAGCCCCCUACAGCCCAGCUUCACACCCCAGCUCCACACACAAUGCCGUGUUCACCCCAUGACUGCUGUGGACCCCUGCUCUGCAAUCGCUUGCCAGUGAUUGAGUAUCAAUUCUUUCCCUACCCUAGAAGCUCAGCUCAAGUACCCCCUGCCCUGAAGCCUGUCCUGACCAUG